rnacentral:rRNA from 1 species
GACGAACGCUGGCGGCGUGCCUAACACAUGCAAGUCGAGCGAGCGGAGUUCUUCGGAACAAAGCUAGCGGCGGACGGGUGAGUAACACGUGGGCAACCUGCCUCAUAGAGGGGAAUAGCCUCCCGAAAGGGAGAUUAAUACCGCAUAAGAUUGUAGCUUCGCAUGAAGUAGCAAUUAAAGGAGCGAUCCGCUAUGAGAUGGGCCCGCGGCGCAUUAGCUAGUUGGUGAGGUAACGGCUCACCAAGGCGACGAUGCGUAGCCGACCUGAGAGGGUGAUCGGCCACAUUGGGACUGAGACACGGCCUAGACUCCUACGGGAGGCAGCAGUGGGGAAUAUUGCACAAUGGGGGAAACCCUGAUGCAGCAACGCCGCGUGAGUGAUGACGGCCUUCGGGUUGUAAAGCUCUGUCUUCAGGGACGAUAAUGACGGUACCUGAGGAGGAAGCCACGGCUAACUACGUGCCAGCCGCCGCUGUAACAC